rnacentral:rRNA from 1 species
CAGCUAGUUGGCGGGGUAACGGCCCACCAAGGCUUAGAUCGGUAGCCGGCCUGAGAGGGCGCACGGCCACACUGGAACUGAAACACGGUCCAGACUCCUACGGGAGGCAGCAGUGGGGAAUUUUGCGCAAUGGGGGAAACCCUGACGCAGCAACGCCGCGUGGAGGAUGAAGUCCCUUGGGACGUAAACUCCUUUCGACCCGGACGAUAAUGACGGUACGGGUGGAAGAAGCCCCGGCUAACUUCGUGCCAGCAGCCGCGGUAAUACGAGGGGGGCAAGCGUUGUUCGGAAUUAUUGGGCGUAAAGGGCGCGUAGGCGGUGCGGUAAGUCACCUGUGAAACCUCUAGGCUCAACCUAGAGCCUGCAGGCGAAACUGCCGUGCUUGAGGGUGGGAGAGGUGCGUGGAAUUCCCGGUGUAGCGGUGAAAUGCGUACAUAUCGGGAGGAACACCUGUGGCGAAAGCGGCGCACUGGACCACAUCUGACGCUGAGGCGCGAAAGCUAGGGGAGCAAACAGGAUUA